rnacentral:rRNA from 1 species
GUGGAACGAGCGGCGGACGGGUGAGUAACACGUGGGCAACCUGCCUGUAAGAUCGGAAUAACCCCGGGAAACCGGGGCUAAUGCCGGGUAAUACUUUCUUUCGCAUGAAGGAAAGUUGAAAGAUGGCUUCUCGCUAUCACUUACAGAUGGGCCCGCGGCGCAUUAGCUAGUUGGUGAGGUAACGGCUCACCAAGGCGACGAUGCGUAGCCGACCUGAGAGGGUGAUCGGCCACACUGGGACUGAGACACGGCCCAGACUCCUACGGGAGGCAGCAGUAGGGAAUCUUCCGCAAUGGACGAAAGUCUGACGGAGCAACGCCGCGUGAACGAUGAAGGUCUUCGGAUCGUAAAGUUCUGUUGUUAGGGAAGAACAAGUACCGUGCGAAUAGAGCGGUACCUUGACGGUACCUAACGAGGAAGCCCCGGCUAACUACGUGCCAGCAGCCGCGGUAAUACGUAGGGGGCAAGCGUUGUCCGGAAUUAUUGGGCGUAAAGCGCGCGCAGGCGGUUCCUUAAGUCUGAUGUGAAAGCCCACGGCUCAACCGUGGAGGGUCAUUGGAAACUGGGGAACUUGAGGACAGAAGAGGAGAGUGGAAUUCCACGUGUAGCGGUGAAAUGCGUAGAUAUGUGGAGGAACACCAGUGGCGAAGGCGACUCUCUGGUCUGUUUCUGACGCUGAGGUGCGAAAGCGUGGGUAGCAAACAGGAUUAGG